rnacentral:rRNA from 1 species
CGGACUGCAGUCUGCAACUCGACUGCACGAAGCUGGAAUCGCUAGUAAUCGCGGAUCAGCACGCCGCGGUGAAUACGUUCCCGGGCCUUGCACACACCGCCCGUCACACCAUGGAAGUCUGCAAUGCCCGAAGCCGGUGGCCUAACCACUUAUGUGGAAGGAGCCGUCUAAGGCAGGGCAGAUGACUGGGUGAAGUCGUAACAAGGUAUC